rnacentral:lncRNA from 1 species
GCUCUGUAAACCUGGAAGCUUAUCUGUAUGAUUGCUGUUAAAGAUCACUUGGUAGCCGAUUACCAAGAGAUAGCCAACUCUCUCAGGGAAUUUUUGGAAGACCAUCAAGGCUCACAUGUUUAACAGGAUGCUGGAGAACAAAUCUUCGAGCUCUGGAAGGCUGGGCAACAGAAAUCGCAUGGCUCAUAUGCUGCUGCUGCGAUGAGUGUGACUUCCAUCUGCCCUGGCGUUACUGCAUCCCUCAUGCUCUCAUCAGCCUGGAAGGAUUGGCCUGGGCAGUGAGAGGAAGAUCUGCCCUUUUGAUCUCCCCUAACUCCCAAGGCGACACACAAAAAGAAGUCCCAAAGAGUGACUGGGGUAGAAUAGGACAGAAAUUUGGAUGCAAGAAAGCCCAAACUAUGACAUAUGUCCACUACAAUAAUUUUAUUUCAUCAAUCAUCAUCUAAUGACUACUGGAUAUAAGCCACACCCUGUGCCAGGUCUUAGAGACCCAAAGAGCCCUCCCUGUGGCCACAAGACGAUGGAUCAGCAGGGACCAUAACAGAAGGCAAGAGCUCAGUUAGAAGACUAUUGUAAUACUCCAGUCAAGAGGCUGCUGUCACACCAGAGAAACUGUCUCUUUUGCCUGGCACUUGUUCUUAUCCAAAGCUGAGUGUAGAAUUAUUCAGGAUGACUAAUGUUUCACCUCAGUCCUAAUGUCCUCCCACCGCAGCUUGAGAGACAGGAGUCCCCAAAGGAUCACAAAGUAACGAAUCUGGGCAGCCAGUGGAAAUGGAUCUCAUUCCAUCUCCAGCAGGUCCUGAGUCUUGUUAUGUAAACCUAGGGGUGUCCACAAGACACAAGCUCCUCUAAUCUAGGAGUCACAGGCUCGAGACCUUCCUCACUCACACCAAGCAGAUGGAGAAGAUUCAAGUUUUGCCACCAUGAAAGUAGGGUCAGAUGUUCAAGUGAAUUCCCAGUUGCCCACUGUGAAUUUAACGCCAAAGUAGCCAGAAGUUGGGAGACUAAGAAGGCAGGACUAUCCUAUGAACUCCGAUAAAUACACAGGGAGCUCUGUUCAGUUUUCCUAGCCGUUUGCAGCUGCACACAUGGGGUAUGGGAAUGUCGACACAUCCUUGCUCUGAGUGUAAUUAAUGACAAUGUGCCCAAUGUGCCAUUGACUCAGACAGAACACCUGACGGAGAUUCCGCUCGAGGCUUCUAUGGUCUCAGGGUGUGGAUGUGCCCGCAUGAACCACGCUGGAGUGUGUGAACAUCACCCUCCUGUUCCUGGCUGACUCAGAAGCAGAUCUAGGAGUCAGAAGACCUGGUUCAAGGCCUAGCCUUGCAAGGCAGCUAAAAACAAGCUUGUUAAUAAUCUCCCAGAGACCCAUCGUGCUCACUACAGGCCAGGCUCUGUCCUAAAUCCCUACAGGUAUUAAUUCAUUUAAUCCUCACAACAACUCCUGAAGCCAGUGCUAUUGUUAUUUGUAUUUGACAACUGAGGCGACUGAGGCAUGGAGGCUAAGCCACUUGCCCAUGCUUACACAGCUACAAUAAUACAAUAAACAGCAUUCAACCCCAGCCCAGCAGCUCCCACGCCUGCGCACUGUUCGCUACUGAGAAGCACGUAGAGAAUGUGGGCCAAAGCCCUGUGGAUCCCUCCAUUGCCAUCUGAAUACAAGUGCUUCUGUUGUUAGCGCUCUGACCGUCAUAGUGAUGGUGAUCCUGUGGGGGGACAUGAGCUCCCUUGGGAAGGGGCAGGUACAAGCACCCCAGCCAUACAUCAAGUCUACAUCUCUUAUUGCUACCCCAAACAAGGGGGUCUUGCUGCUUUCGUAACCAGAUGCCACCAUGGUGAAACUCCUAUCCUGGUGCCUCCCAUUUCCUUCCAGUCAUCAUCACAAACCUCCAACACACCUCCUGUGGAGAAACACCUCUUUGAAAGGCAGUCGCAGUGAGUGGCAUGCUGGCACAGAGAUGGCACUGCACACCUGCAGGCUUUCCAGUGCUAAGCCUAGCACCGCCUGCCUGUGUGCCCUCCCAUGCCGCUCCCACCGCAGCAAGCUGGGCCCACCCCUGUUUCCUCACUGCCAGCUUCAGUGGGCCAGCAAGGGCGUGGCUGACAACAGCUUUGAUUGUUGAACACACUGCCCAGAGUGGCAAUUGCUGCAGAGGACCCCAUCCAUCUGAAAGACAUCACCAACCAAACUCCGGCCCUGGGGUCAAGGUAGUGAUCUGAGAGCUCAGCAUCUGCAGAGCUUAUCUGUUUCUAUUGUUCUGUUGAGUGAUCCUGGCAACCGGUACAGGAAUUUACAUGUAAUGGAAAAAAACAGGGAUCUCUUUCUGGUAUCAGGUUUCUUGAUCCAGGGACUAAAAGCAUAUCAUUAGGACUUGUUUUCUCCUAGUCUUUUAGCUCUGCCAUCCACUGAUGGCUCCCUUCUUGAGCUCCAUGUUGUUCCUCUCUCCAUAUUGAAGGCUAGAUGGGUUUUGCUCAGUGGAAAAAAACCCUUCCAGUGACUUGCACAAAAAUUCCCAAGAUUCACUCUGAUUGGAUGGCUUAGAGUAUGUGCCUGUCUUUGACCCAAGCAUUGUUGCCAUGAGGGAUGAGCUCUACUCCUGAUGAAUGAAGACAGGACAGAUUCCCAAACAAAAAUCAGAGGUCUUACUAAGGGGAACAGACACUGAGUAGUCAAUCCACAGAUGUCCAGUAUAGGUACCCGAGGAGAUGAUCCUCAAUGAGACCUGGAAAAACGAAGUGAUAUCUGCAGGGCCACACAGCAAGUGAGUGGUGAGACGGGGUGGAGAGGCAGGUGUUAGACCCAGUCCUUCCAUCUUUAAGAGCCACUCUGUACGUGUGACCUGACUUAAUCCUGGAUGUUCCAGUUGUGGCUAAAAUGUCAAUGGGAAAGCCAGAGACUUUACAACUUUGUGUACAUGCAGAGACUAUCCUUGGGAUCACUUUCACUUUAUGGCAAAGCUGUUGCCUAUCCAUUCACUACCCUCAUUUUCCGGCUCCCUUAGCUCUUGUCUUGCUUCUACUAGAUUACGGCAACAGCCUUCCAACUCUCACCCUACUUCUAGCUCUACAGUUUUUCCUACCCACCACAGGGAGCAAUCUUUCCCUGCCCAGAGCCCUUCAACACAGAGGCCCUGCUGGCCUCUGCAGGCCUUUACCCUGCCACAUCCAGCUCAUGCUCUGCAUCCAGCCCAAGGAGAUGCUGACUUCCCCUAUCUCAAGACAUCAUUACCUGAGGUUGCACCAUCAAAUGAAUCACCCCUUUAAGAAUAAGGAACCAUGUAAAAUGGGGAAAUAUGGUUCUUACCACUUCCAAAAUUGUUCCAGGCUCUACAGCAUCUGGCCAUUGGCAGUGCCCUCUGCCCAGAGUAUUCCUCAGCUGCACACUCCCCUCAGCUGGGCUAACCCCUUCUGAUCCUUCAUGUCAGCUUACAUCUCACCUCCCCCAGGAAGUCUUUCCAUUCACCCUCUUAGGAGCACCUCAGUUUCUUCUAUUGACUAUAGAAUGUGGUCUUGUUAGGACAGUAACUACAGUGGAGGCCCACCUCCCACAGAUGUGAGAGGCUGAUGCCUACUGUGAUCCUCCCCAACAGGCAAGGAUGAUGUGUGGCCUACGCUUGGCCACUGCAAUGCUUUCUUCUGGAACACACCAGGUGGAAGAAACAGCUGAAGGUUUUUCAUCCUGUUAGUGGGAGAGAAGUUGUUCCUCCUCCUUCUAGCUCACAGGUGUUUUCAGCUUCCAGACUCCAUGGAGUGUGAACAUGAUAGAGAUAAAGGACAAAUCCCAAGAGCACCUUCCUACCAGGCAACAGGGCCCCUGGAGGAUCCUGCUCCAGCCUCACGCAAGAGACUCGGUCCGCAUGGCUGUUGUCGUGAGACCUGGUGCUUUGGGCUCCUGUUCAGCUUCUAUGCCUCUCACGUUCCCCUUCCAUAUCCAUGUUCUUUUCAGAACAGAGUGGCAGGUUUUCUAAGGUUCCUCAAUCACUCCUUUCUCUGCCAUGCGUCAUCAAAAAUGCACCAAGAUUGUCUCUCCAGUUUCCAUUUCUCAAAAAGCAAUAUCAGAGACAUUGCUCUGUUUUCAUUCAAACUGAAAUAAUAUACCAACUUGUUUAAUCCUGGAGAGCCAGAAAGGAAAUUCCUGUUUACCCAAAAUCCAGAAAAUAAGGAAACUCAAAGAGCCAGACAACUGUCUACACGUCACUUCUCUGAGAAAGAGACAGAUACAAUGGAAAUAGUUUGAAUGGGGAAUUUAGUCCCCAAAGCAAUUCCCAGAGCAAGCUGCAGUCUUGCUUCUAGCUGACACUCUUGUAUCUACAGACCAUAUGAGACAAUCAAACAAUAAGAAGAAAAUUUCCAUUCACUGCCAGGUUCUGGCCCAACGGAGUCCACGAUACUUUUGUUUUAUACAGGCAGAAUUUAGUAGGUAGAUCUACCCAUUCACUGAAUUUGUUGAACAUUUACCAUGGGGUAAAUAUAGUACCCCCCCAUAUGGGGUCUCACAUAAAUAGAAUAGUCCAGCUAUUUGGUUUUGAGGACACACUCUGCAUGUUGGAAGCCCAGCACAAGUAACCAUCAUACAGAGCAAUGUAGGAGCAAUGAGCUAGAAGAGACGUUCAAAGCGUUGGAGGAGUUAGCUGCAGGUGUGACAGCUUCUAUUUAGGGCUACAUGGAGGGCUUCUUGGAGGAGGAAGGAGCAUUUGUAUUGAAUUCUAAGGAUGGAUGAUAAUUUGACAGGUGGAUGUGGCAGCUGGUUGGGAUAGUGGAAGACAGGCAUUCUAGGUGGGAGGAGUCAGGAGCAAAGAUGUACCAGCCUAAAUUAUAGCAGAGUGCAACAUGGUAGCAUUUCACAGACACAGUGUUGAGUGAAGGAAGCCAGCUGCUGAAGACCCACUACUGUAGAAUUCCAUUUCACAAAGUUUUAAAGUACACAAACUGAACAAUAGCGAUUAGAGACUUCAAUUUAGUGGUAAAAGGAUACAGAAAAACAAAGGAAUCUUUAUUAUAAAGACUAGCAGAGUCAUUCCUCUUAGGAGGGGUGAGGGCAUUGUAACCUGUCUGUUGAUCUGGGUGGCGAUUAUACAGGUAUUUAUUCUCCAAUAAUUCAUUAAGCUCUAUAGGUCUUUUCCAUGCACUUUUAUAUUUUUAUGUUAUAUUUUAUAGCAGUCCACAGCAACCUCCUCUGUCCAUGCUCUGCCAAAGGUGAAACAGUUCAUGUGUCCCAUAUCUUCUUGAAGGGGUUUGUCAUCUCUUGAAUUUAGACCACCUCGUCUCCUUGUGACCUUAGUUCUCUGAUGGGCUCAAGAAAAUUUAUGAUUUUGUAGAUUAUCUGUCUUUCUACAUUGCUAGGGUAGGAGUGAUGUUCUCUUGUUGCUUUUUACAUCCUAAGUGGGAUUUUUAUAUUAUAUCUCAUAAUAAAAACUCGUUUGGAAAAAAGCAGUAUUGGCCGGAAAGUGUAAGGCUGGACAAGAGGGUGACUGAAGAAUUGUCAGGCAAGCAAAAUUGAGGGCUGGGCUGGAAGGAGAAGGGCUUGCAAUGUCAGGCUGAGGGAUGUGGUUGAAUUAGGAAGGCAAUGGGGAGCUGCUUAUCAGCAGGAAAGGAGAGAUGUUGGGGCACAGAGCCAUCAGCAGGGGCCAGGAUGAGAGUCCAGUUAAACCACACAAAGGCCUGAUCAGUGGAGGGCAGGAGAAAUGGGAAAGAAGGGGAGAGAGAUGAGCAGCAUUUGUGGCUGAUGAAAAGGAGGGAGUAAAGCCCUCAAUGUGUUAAGAGUCUAAGAGCAUCCUAGGCAGGAGUGGUGUGGGAGCAUGCCAAGAUAUCAUCAGUCAAGAGGUGAUGAUUGGAGUGACAUUGAUACCACAUUUGGUGUGAGGAUAAGGACAUCUUCAGACAGUUUUAAAUGCGGGAAAUAUUAGAACUCCCUCCCAGAGCUGCCAGGGAUUAAGAAAGCACGGAAGGGCUUGGUGACACCUAACAGGUAAUGUUCUGCCUGGAAGGUGAGAAGCCCAUGCUACAAACAGGACUUGUAUAUAAUUAGUUUGUUCCUGGCAUUCAUAUUUAAUGUCCUGUCUUCUACUUUGCAACUGAUUAACAUCAAUGAGCUGACUCUCAUACCCACCGUCUGUUAGUAGCUAUCUUUCCUGUCAUCCAGCAUCUUUUUAUGGUCCUGGGGAUAACCACGAGUUUAGGUUCUUGGAGCCCCCGGGAUCUUUUGCUUGAUGUCACGUCCUCGACACAUCAUUUAUUCUGGUAGACCUUACUCUUGUUGGAGUACAAACUGAAGGCUCCAUCCUUUACAUUUGAAAUUCAACUUUGGAAUCUGGAAGAACAGCCCUGUGUUAUUGUAACAAACAGCAUUGUUGAUUCUGUGACUUUUAGUGAUGCCUCAACCUUACUCCUAAACCUCACUGUAACUUUUUAUAUUGGAUUUCUUUGAAUAUUUAAUGCCUUAAAACUUAUGUAAAAAACUCAGCCAAAACAGUAAGGGAAAGUUCCGUUUUGUUCCUAGAGCUACACUGAACUAAAUUCUUCAAAAUAUUAAAAAAUAAACACCAGUUUGUAGGUGAGGGAGUUCUUUCUUUUCUAAUUGUCUGGGUUUAAUUUGCACGAUGUGCUCCUCCAUUCCACGGGAGAGAACUGAAAAACAUUCCUUGUGGUGCUCUGAGAGCUCCUGGGGACCAGGACGGAAGAUGAUCCCACCACCUUUACCAGAUCUCAGAGAGGCUGGGGAAGUUGUAUGUUAAGAUGAAAUGGACCUGUACAGAGAGGUGUGUCAUUAGGGUGGAGGCACAGAGGAAAAAACAUGGUACAUGUAUGGGUUUGUUAGUAAGGUUUUAAUACUUAGAAUCAGCAAUGCCUUGGUCUGUCUCCCUGACUCUCACGCAGACGCUAGGAAGGGUGACAGGGCCCCAGAAGCUCUGGAUGUACAACUGGCAGUGCUUAAUUUAUUUUAUCAUGUUCUUGCUUUUCCUUGACUUGUCCUAAUAUUGCUAAUUUUUUCUUUAUUCAGAAGAUUGAGCAAAGCAAAGGUUUUAAAAUUUUUAAUGGGUAACAUAUACAGUAAAUGGUAUAAAGAGCACUGAUCUUAAAUGUUCAGCUAAGUAAGUUUUUUGUAAGUGUGAAAAUAAAUGAAGGCCAGCCAAUUAAGAAUAAAUAAAGGCUACUUAUUCAGAGCUUGCCAUAGAAAGGGAGUCAGCACCCUCGCUUGCCUUUGGUAGACUCAAAGGCAGGCAGAGGAGUGGCAAACCUUUCUAGUGGAAAAAAUAGAAGGCUUCCAGUGUGCUCUGAUUAGAUGUUGUGGGCAUGGGGGAGCUGGAGUAACUAGAAGCAGGGCAUCGUAUGUGACUGGUUGGGGGAGCAUGUUUGAUAUUUCGCUUUCUCUGGUCAGUCCUGAAUUGGAAGCAGGUUGCAGGGGCAGUGGUGGCGUGGUGGGGGUGGGGGUGAUGGUAGCGAAAUAAUAGAAAAGCAGACAGUUACUGACCAAGUCCUGACUCUGUUCUGGACCAAUUGCUGCAGAGGUUAUGGUUUGGCUUUGGCUUCCUGGGCUGGUUGCUGCAGAGGUUGUGGUUUGGCUUUCUGGGCUUCUUAUGUAAGUCAGAGUCCUGUUGUCAUAUACGGUCUGGCCAUUGUCCAUUUGCAUAUUCAGUCUCUCACGUGUGUGUAUAUUCAUGUCACCAUCAUCUAGAACCAAGGGAAACUUGACUUGUGUAUUCGAAAUUAUUUAUUUAGUGUUUCUGAGCACAUAUAGUACUAAAAAUGUCAGAGGCACUUCCUGUUUAUGGAAGGCCUGUCCCCCCGCUCUGUAUUUAGGGAGGUAAUUGCUUAAAGUGGUCAACAUAACACAAGGAGUUACAUCCAGGAAAAAGUGCUUGCCAGAUGUUCACACAAGAUGCAACUUUUUCUUUUCUUACUUUUAG